UGGGGAAUAUUGGACAAUGGGCGCAAGCCUGAUCCAGCCAUGCCGCGUGAGUGAUGAAGGCCCUAGGGUUGUAAAGCUCUUUCACCGGUGAAGAUAAUGACGGUAACCGGAGAAGAAGCCCCGGCUAACUUCGUGCCAGCAGCCGCGGUAAUACGAAGGGGGCUAGCGUUGUUCGGAUUUACUGGGCGUAAAGCGCACGUAGGCGGACUUUUAAGUCAGGGGUGAAAUCCCGGGGCUCAACCCCGGAACUGCCUUUGAUACUGGAAGUCUUGAGUAUGGUAGAGGUGAGUGGAAUUCCGAGUGUAGAGGUGGAAUUCGUAGAUAUGCGGGGGAACACCAGUGGCGAAGGCGGCUCACUGGACCAUUACUGACGCUGAGGUGCGAAAGCGUGGGGAGCAAACAGG
rnacentral:rRNA from 1 species